rnacentral:lncRNA from 1 species
GGAAGACCCAAAGAGAGUGAGAGAGACACAAAGACACGUAAGAGAGACAGAGAAAUCCAGAAAGAAACGAGUGCAGCGACACCUAGAGUUCGGGGCAGAGAUUAGAAACGCACGAGGGUACGAGAAACAGGCUCAGGGCGAUGGGCUCGACCUGCGGGGAGGUCGCACAACCGGGACGUGCUGGGGGCAGAACCGUAAAGCCCCACGUGCCUCAGGCAACUGUGAUGAGAGGACCCGGGCAGGCAGGAAAGGGCAGGAUUCGAACUGUGGGUGGGACAGAGGCCAGGACGGACUGAGCUAAGAGAC